rnacentral:misc_RNA from 1 species
GAUGAAGAACGUAGUGAAAUGCGAUACUUAGUGUGAAUUGCAGAAUCCCGUGAACCAUCGAGUCUUUGAACGCAAGUUGCGCCCGAGGCCUCCUGGUCGAGGGCACGUCUGCCUGGGUGUCACGCAUCGUCGCCCCCGCUCCCCUCGGCUCACGAGGGCGGGGGCGGAUACUGGUCUCCCGCGCGCUCCCGCUCGCGGCUGGCCCAAAAUCGAGUCCCCGGCGACGGUCGCCACGACGAGCGGUGGUUGAGAGACCCUCGGACACUGUCGUGCGCGCGCCCGUCGCCCCCGGGAUCUCCUGGACCCUCGGGCAUCGACCUUUCUAGGAUGCUCUCGUUGCGACCCCAGGUCAGGCGGGACUACCCGCUGAGUUUAAGCAUAUCAAUAAGCGGAGGA